CUCCAGGGCCCCGCCCCUGUCCUGCUAUACCUGUGCUGCCUCACCUGCGACCCCUCCCCUCCCCGGCCGGGCUCGCCUCCUCCUGCAAGCCCCGCUGCCAGUCCCCGGGUGUCUUCUGAAUCCCCGGGCAGAUGGGGUCCGACCCAGACUCGAACAGGCCUCCGUGGCGUUUUAGGGAGAGAGGCGUCCACAAGCCACCCGCCCUCGAAGGGUGGAGAGCUCCCCAGUUCUUGGAGCUCCAGGCCCCGUCCUUCACCUUUCCCCCUAGCUGCCGGGGUUGGCUCCUUUCCUGGACCCCGCAAUCUUAUUCCUGACCUGUCAGCUGCCGCCCACCUGUUCUGCCAGGCUGGACACCAGCUGUACACCCUGCAUCCUCCUCCCAGGCGGGUGGACGCACACACUCGGCCGCAGCUGCCAAGGUCUGCAGGGUCGCAGCCCCACACGGAGCACACUUGCAUCCGCCCGCGUGGGCCGACUCCAGUCGCCCCCACUGCAAUGCAGUGAGGUGUUUUAAAUCCGGACCUCAUCUGGUUGACUUCAGCCCAGAAGAACCCCAGGCCUUUCCCCCCUUCCCUGAGCUUUUUGGGGGCACAACGAUGUCGUAUUGGAAGGCCCUGCUUUCUGGAUAUGCUGGUGCUCCUGUGGGGUCAUCAGACUUUACUGGGUGGGUACCUGGGGCAGGAGCGCUGUAGAGGGGUGGGGCACAGCAAGGGGCACAUGGCUAGCAGCCCUUGCCCCCAGUUUUUCCAGGGAAUGUUGCCCAGGCUGGGAAGCUGCAACGCUAAAUUCCAGCGUUUCUUCAGGCCCACCAGCUGGAAUUCUCCCUCAACACCUCGCCGGGAUGGAACCUCCUCCUGAGAAGACUGGGGAGUGGCCUUCUACUUUCUGAUGGGAGAGUUGGCACUGGCACCAGCACCAGCCGGCUGGCCAGACAGAGAACCACUGCAGGGACGUGAUCUUUCUUUACAACCCAUUCUCCAUGUUUCACCCUCACUCUUUCCUCGUUCUGGUCAGGAGUACCCUGUCCCCAGGACUCUAGAGCCAUCUCCUUAAGCAAACCCCCAGCACUCUCAUCAGCAUCCCCAGAACCCUGGUGUCUUUCCGUGGCCUUCUUAACUGUGGAGACAAGAAACAUGCUCCCAACCAGGCCCCUGACUUCCCUGAGGGCAUGUAGACGCCUGCCAGGAGCAUUUUAAAGAACCUGGAUGGUACUAUUGGCCCAGGGCCCAGGCCAGGGGGCAGGCAAGAGUGGAGACCUACCAGUCCCCCACUCACAACUGCACCCACAGAAAUAAACCCUCCCACGCAGUUCUAAAGCGGCAUCCGAGCUCCCAAGAUCUACAAGGCAGAGGAAACACAGCCAAGGCCAGCCUCAGGGACAAAUGGGAGACUAGUGAAGGUGGCCCUUGGGCAGGGUGCAGGCAAGGGUGUCAGGACUCAGCAAGGGUGUCAGGAUCCCACACAGCACCCCAUGCAGCCUGGUGCCCGUGGUGAGGCCACUGGAGACGGUGGGGGGCAUCGUUUUGUCUGUCCUGUCUGCCUUGCAGCCCUCUCAGCUCUCUACUUGGGGGUAGAGUGCAGGCAGACCUAAGCCAGCUCUCUGGGCCCUGUCCAGGCUUGGGGAGCAGCCCCUAGUGGAGGGAUGGCCCCUGCAUCAUCAAGGACCCCCUCAGCGGAGUGCACACCUUUGGGCACCACCGUCCCCACUCUCGGGUGUCCUCAGAGUCUUUCCCAAUGGAAUUGGGCCUUCCUGGGUGAUCCUUCAUCCAGGAUCCCAGUCCUGUCUCCCCAGGUCCCACAGCGUCCACUGAGGGCUGGGGUCAGGGGAAAGCCCGGUCAGGCAACGGCCUACUUCCCAGUCUGGACAAAGCAAGCAGUGAACAGUGGACAUGUCAUCGCGACAGUGCUUUAUUAACCCUCCUCCGGACAUCACACUGAGCACCUACCCGCCGCAUGGGGGUCCAGCUGGGGGCACAAUCAGACAGGAUGUGAAGCCAGUGCGCAGCAGAGGCCACCCAGGCAUGGUUCCGCCAGGCAGACGUCCACCUGGUCUCCCAGCAGAACAGCCAUACCCACGGGCCACGGACCACCCCCUUCCGCCGCAAAGGUAGAAGCGGACCCCCAAGUGGUCACAAAGGCAGACAUUCGAACGAUUCAGAUGGCUUCCACCUUGACUUCUGAUGUGUCACACAGUUCAAAAAUCCUACUUGGAGCUAUUAGAGGAACAUUAACUUAGCAUUUUAA